CAGCAGCCGCGGGAAAACGAAGGGGGCUAGCGUUGUUCGGAUUUACUGGGCGUAAAGCGCACGUAGGCGGACUUUUAAGUCAGGGGUGAAAUCCCGGGGCUCAACCCCGGAACUGCCUUUGAUACUGGAAGUCUUGAGUAUGGUAGAGGUGAGUGGAAUUCCGAGUGUAGAGGUGAAAUUCGUAGAUAUUCGGAGGAACACCAGUGGCGAAGGCGGCUCACUGGACCAUUACUGACGCUGAGGUGCGAAAGCGUGGGGAGCAAACAGGAUUAGAUACCCGUGUAGUCCCUGUCUCUUAUAC
rnacentral:rRNA from 1 species